CUCUAAGAUAAAUAAACAUUAAAAUUUUUCCAAUAAAUUAAAAGAUUUGCCUAUUCUGGACUUUUUAUAUAAGAGGGAUCAUACAUCAUGUGACCUUUUAUGGCUGGCUUUUCACUUAGCAUACUGUGUUGUUUUUAUUUAUUUAGUAAUCUCUACACCCAACUUGGGGCUUGAACUCACGACCCCGAGAUCAAGUCUCACGCACUCUUCUGACUGAAGCCAGCCAGCUGCCCGGCAUACUGGUUUUCCAAGUUCAUCCACGUUGUAGCAGCACACAGUGGAGUUUUCCAGAGACAGCGUGACACGUGAGGAUGUCAUUGCUCCCACCGCAAACUGAAUGUGUAUGCUUCUGCAUCCUUGGGUUUUAAAAAUGUUUUAGGGGCGCCUGGCUGGCUCAGUUGGUGGAGCAUGUGACUCUUAAUCUCAGGGUCCUGAAUUCAAGCCCCACAGUGGGUGUGGAGCCGAUUUUUAAAUAACGUUUUAUUAUGCUAAGAGAAAGGAAGCUGGUACAAAGGCCAUGUAUCGUAGGGUUCCACGUAUAAGAAAUGUCCAGAACAGGCAAAUCCAUGGAGACAGAAAGCAGAAUGGUGGUUACCACAGGAUGGGAGAAGGGGAAGUGAGGAGUGACUUUCUGGUUUCUUUUUGGGGUGAUGAAAAUGUUCUAGAAUGAUAAGUGGUGGUGAUUGCACAAAAUAGUGUAUAUAUCACUUUAAAUGGAUGAAUUUUUGUUAUGUGAAUUACUGCUCAAUAAAAACCUUUGGCUUUUUCUUUU